CAUCCUGUGCUCAGCGUGCACAGGCUAAGGAUGCCUUUACUCCAGAGGUACCGGGGACUCAUCACUUUCCCUCCGUUCUCUGGCAGACCACCAUCAUGGGAAAACAAUACAUCUGCACUGCUGCAAGAGAGGCACGGGCACUGUGAUGCCAUAUUGUGCUGUUACCCAGGAGGCAGCGAGCAGGCAGAGAGAAGGGGGAAUCAUCUGUCAGGAAGUCAGCUGAGAAGUGAGCAGCUACUCACUGCAGAGCUGUGAUCACAGAAACACAGUGGGAACAAAAACAGCAAUGACAGAUUCAGGUACUGGAAAGCAGCAGUGAGAUCCUUCCUGAAGUCCUCUCCAGGUUGAACAAGACCAACUCCCUCAGCCUCUCUGACCAGAACAAGUGCUCCGACCCACACUCCCAACAGUGGACUUGCUUCUGGUUUAUCAGCGUCUUUCUUGUAGCUGGGGAUCCAAAUGGAUGAAGACCUGAGAAAUGUGGCCAGGUCUCAUACUUGACUUUGAUUUGAUCAAAGUUUGGACUAGUGACCUCCC